rnacentral:piRNA from 1 species
AGAAGGGAAAUAUCUCCCAGCCACCCUGGUC